ensembl:lncRNA
CAGAAUACCGACCUGUGGGAAGCUUGAAAUAAUUCCUGGAGACGUGUUAGAUCCUGAAAGCUGAGAUAGUCUGGACUGAGCAAGCUGCAAGAGCCACCUUCACUCAGUUCAAGAACACUUCAGUGUUUCACAAGGAGCCAGUUACACCAAAACACUCCAAUUUCACAUCCUGGAUACAUGCAUGAGUUCUGGGGACAUCCCAGAGGAGAAGCCACUUAAUCUGGAGCAGGUCUCACUGCCCGAUGGUGGGGACAAAGACGAGGCUGGUGGCUCCCUGGCAGACAAAGCAGUGUUGUGGGGGAUUGUUCAGUCUGAAGAAGAGGAGCUCAGAGGAGACUUUAUCACUCUCUACAACACCUGAAAGGAGGCUGUGGUGAGGUGGAGGUCGGCCUCUUCUCCCAGGUUUCUGGCUCUGUACGUUGCAGGUCAUUUAUAUUUUCUACUCAGAAUCUAAAGGCUGGAAACUGACUCAUUGUUAAUAGAAAGUAUAAAAGCCCACUAGGAGCAACAUGAUUCCAGGAGCUCAGACUAUCAUGGGAACAUCAAAUGCACCUGGCAUCGUGAUAAGGCCAUCAGAAAUUAGCAACACCAAAGGUGCAUCCUGGGUGUCCUUCUAACACAGAUCAUAGCUGACAUAUAUCUGUCUGUACUGACAUCACCUGGAGCCUCAGCAGCAUACUUUGGAGGUUUGAAGGCAAAGCCUAUGGAGAUAGGAAGAAGGACUGGGGCACAUUUUCCUACGCCAUCUACAAGUAUCUACAUUUCCAUCCUCUCCUCAUCUCAUCCUGACUGUCCCAAAGCACUUUUUUUGUCCAAAUUGGAGUGAAUCCCUUAUAAAGGGCAGAUGGAGAAUGGUAGCAGCCUUCUGACCAAGGCGCUGCUGAGUAUUUUCACUCCCCUUGUCCUCUUCUGAAGCUGGACCAUGUGCUUUGUGGGAAGUCUUAAAUGGAGCGAUGUCUACUGCAGCCAAGAGAAUUAAUGUCACAAUUCUAUUUGAAGGAAAUGACAAACGUGUCCUCAAAUUCAAAGCAGACACAUCCAAUCUCCUGGCAUGACUGCGGUGAGGUACAGCAAUCUCCGUUCUGCCCCCAGAUCCAGGCGGCACAGCAACCCUGAUCCAUCAGCGGUGAGGUCAGCUCUGUUGGUCUGAGCUACAUCUGCCUCUCCAUCAAGCAAAGAACUGAAGGAGGCAAAGCUUGCAGCAAGCUGCAAACCACAUCCACUCCCACCAAUCACCUUUACUUCUCUCUUCUCUUCUGGUUUGGGGUUUCUGACAACUGUAUCUUUUCUAAACGGAAGCCCACACAAGCCUCUCUUCUGACGCCUUUCACUUGUGAUUUUGUGAGUCUUUAUAACCAGCUCUAAGAAACACUUGAAAUGCGACCAUUAAAUCACUCAAUAACACCCUUCAGAGCACUUUUACACAAGGCUGCGAUAUGUGUGCGGGGACAGCCUGACACCACUGGGAGGGCACCUUCAUCUCUGGGACAGCAGCCCACAGAGGAGGUCAAGGAAGUAUUUCUGAAGAGCCAUUCCUCACAGAUGCUCAGCUUUUGAGUCUGAUGGCCCUGUAGGAGAUCAAGGCAGCCACCAACAGGGGAUAUGCUUUUACAGGCUGAAGUCCAUGAGAAGAAAGGAGUCAGACUUGUCCUGGUUAUGGAGGAAGCACUCCUACCAACAUCCUAUGAGACACAGGUCCUUGUCUCAAGCCCCUGAAUGCGCCUGCAAGCCGGAGGCCCAGCAAGAGGAUGAGCCCACGGAGGAGGCAGAAGGGGCCGAGUGUCAAUGCUGCAGCCACAGCAAGCACAACGUGGAGGGCACAGUGCUCUGACAGCAGUCGGCUUCACAGAGACUGCUAGUGUAAGCACAGAUCUAAUUGAAUUGCAGAUGUCUUUUCUGAUGGCUAUCUGGGAACAAGGCUUUGAUUAAAGCAGCAGCAAGAGAGAGGCAGAACAGGCUUGCUCUCGGUAAUAAAACUAAUGGAAGGAAGAAUGACCACUUACUGUGGCCUCCUCAGGGAGCACAAAACAAGCAGAUACUCUGAACAAGACCUUCUUCUUGAGAUUCAAAAGCUUGGCAAAAAUACCCAGCUUCCAGCUCCUGAAGAUCCUGAAUAUAUAUAGUACUGGAAAGCAGAUGACCAUGAUUUAAAUGAUCCACAAACUCUUCUCCCCUUCUUCCCAUACUCCUUGACCAACGCAUCUGCUGCCCUUCAGGAAGGUCAGAUAGGCUUGUUCUUUGAUUUUAAUGACUGGCCAUUUUUAUUCUCUGUCCUUACCGACUCAUAGAGUGGCUUGGGUUGGAAGAGACCUUUAAGAUCAUGUAGUUCCAACCCCCUGCUGCAGGCAGGGACACCUCCCUCUAGAACAGGUUGCUCACAACCCCAUCCAGCCUGGCCUUCCAGGGAGGGGGCACCCACAACCUCACUAUGCAAUCUGUUCCAGUGUCUCACCACCCUCAGUACAGAAUUUCUUCCUAAUGACUAUUCUAAAUCUACCCUCCUCCAGUUUAAAGCCAUUGGUUACUCCCAAGAUUCAGGUGGAUUUGCCCUGAGCUUGUACAUGCUGGAUCUCAUGAAGCCCCUUCAGAUUUCAUGGUGCCCUCAGAGCUCCUAAGGGGGAGAGCUCUCAGCCCAUCCAAACUAGAAGACAGAAUUGCAGCAUUGUGACCUUUUUUUUUUCCCCCUCCAUCUCAUGACAACUUGAACCACAUCCAAUAUGUAUUACUACAUACACACCACUGAAAAACCACCUCCACCCAAGGCAGAUGAAGAAUCAAACUUUAAGAUGACCUAAAAAUCUGGCUCAGCCCAAGAACAAGGUUUCAGAGAACUGCUUUCCCUACGCUCAGCUGUCUGCACCCAAGCAGGUUCUGGGGGCCCCUAGGCCAACUCUCACUGCUUCUUGUUCUCACUCAGCUCUCCUGGGGUCAUCUCAAGGAACAACAACCCGGUGCUGAGCUUCAAGGAAAGUCUUCACAGAUUUACUCAUUUUCCCUUUUGAACUGCUGCCCUUUUUUUGAUGCAUUUCCAACGUAAGGAAGCUAGUUUCUCCACAGUUUGGCUUUUAACUUCAUUGUUGAGCUUGGCCUUGCUCCUGCUGUUGGAAACCGGACCCUGAUUUGGGAGGGCAGUUGCCAGUGUCUGCUGGAAACUCCUUGCCCUGGGAUUUUCAGCCACGCUGUUUAUUGGCCUAGCUCGGUACGAGGUAAAGGCAGUCGGAAGUCUGCUUACUCAUCACAGCAGAAGAGUUUGGCCAGUGGCAAGUGUAUUUUGGUCUCCUCAAACAUGCACUUGCAGCUCCGCAGCUCGUUCCAGGCUUCCCCACAGCUCCUUCCAGCAGUCACUCUUGCUCAGCUCAGUUCCACACAUCUGAAGCCAUGCUGACCGGCAGGCCUAGAGCUGGGUGGACUUCCAGCCUCACGCCUCAGACUUGUCUCAGGUCCAUUCCAGCAGAAAACUCUCCAGAAUGUUAAAAACAUCAUCCAAAGGACAAAAGCAAGAAGUAUUUCAACACCUAAAAUGUGAACGGUCGAUACUGGUCAAGAUGCUAUGUUACGCUAAACAAGCAUGCCUACAGCCAGCAAGCUUGAGUAUUGCUAUUCCACCCCACAAAGAAUAAAUAGUAAUUAAACUUGUUUGUAUUAAUCUCAAUACAUUCGCUGGAGCUACAGAAACCGAGGGCGGUAAUUCCCAAAUAGCCUUGCUGGUUUCUUUCUCCAGCUGGAGGAUAGGAAGCUGCCUUCCAGGCAUUGAUUUCUUCCAAAAGAAUUAGGGAGAGGCAACUCUAAGGCACUGUGCUUACUGCAG